rnacentral:rRNA from 1 species
AUUGAACGCUGGCGGCAGGCUUAACACAUGCAAGUCGAGCGGUAACAGGGGGAGCUUGCUCCCUGCUGACGAGCGGCGGACGGGUGAGUAAUGCAUAGGAAUCUGCCCGGUAGUUGGGGAUAGCCCGGGGAAACCCGGAUUAAUACCGAAUACGCCCUACGGGGGAAAGCAGGGGAUCUUCGGACCUUGCGCUAUCGGAUGAGCCUAUGUCGGAUUAGCUGGUUGGUGGGGUAACGGCCUACCAAGGCGACGAUCCGUAGCUGGUCUGAGAGGAUGAUCAGCCACAUCGGGACUGAGACACGGCCCGAACUCCUACGGGAGGCAGCAGUGGGGAAUAUUGGACAAUGGGGGCAACCCUGAUCCAGCCAUGCCGCGUGUGUGAAGAAGGCUUUCGGGUUGUAAAGCACUUUCAGUGAGGAGGAAAACCUGAUGGCUAAUACCCAUGAGGCUUGACGUUACUCACAGAAGAAGCACCGGCUAACUCCGUGCCAGCAGCCGCGGUAAUACGGAGGGUGCGAGCGUUAAUCGGAAUUACUGGGCGUAAAGCGCGCGUAGGUGGUUUGAUAAGCGAGAUGUGAAAGCCCCGGGCUUAACCUGGGAACGGCAUUUCGAACUGUCAGGCUAGAGUGUGGUAGA